rnacentral:rRNA from 1 species
AUACAUGCAAGUCGAGCGAAGUUGUAAAAGCUUGCUUCUAAAAAUUAGCGGCGGACGGGUGAGUAACACGUGGGCAACCUGCCUGUAAGACUGGGAUAACUUCGGGAAACCGGAGCUAAUACCGGAUAAUUCUUUUCCUCUCAUGAGGAAAAGCUGAAAGAUGGUUUCGGCUAUCACUUACAGAUGGGCCCGCGGCGCAUUAGCUAGUUGGUGAGGUAACGGCUCACCAAGGCAACGAUGCGUAGCCGACCUGAGAGGGUGAUCGGCCACACUGGGACUGAGACACGGCCCAGACUCCUACGGGAGGCAGCAGUAGGGAAUCUUCCGCAAUGGACGAAAGUCUGACGGAGCAACGCCGCGUGAGUGAUGAAGGUUUUCGGAUCGUAAAACUCUGUUGUUAGGGAAGAACAAGUACCGGAGUAACUGCCGGUACCUUGACGGUACCUAACCAGAAAGCCACGGCUAACUACGUGCCAGCAGCCGCGGUAAUACGUAGGUGGCAAGCGUUGUCCGGAAUUAUUGGG